AAACGCUUUUCGCACAUGUCCAGGUUUCCACUCUCCACAGUGAGGACUUCUCGGCCGGCCGACAUGCCUGGGGCUCACGGGGGGCGGCUACACCGCGCCACCCGAUAAGCUCCACCCCUCCCGGCCGGACCCCCGCGAGAUUCCUCUGACUCUGCGGUCGGAAAGGUGCGAGCCUCUCUGCAGAAAGGUGCGCGCUCUGCUCUUUGGUGUGCGGGCAACGGAGUGCACUCCAUGUGCUCGACGAAAUGCCCCUGAGACUCAGAGGGACGUACAGGGCCUCAACUAUGGGUGCCAAAGUCUUGGAAAUAUGCUAUUCCUGCACUUCGGACGCGCCAGUACCGGAAAUAGCUAUUAUGAUGCUCCUGCACAUAGAGAAGAUGGACACUAUCCAUAGUUGCCCUCUUUGAAGGGAAUCAUCAGUGCGAGGUCUUGUUUUGCUUCCCGGUAUUGUAAGUUGCUAUGGAAGCGAAGGCAAGCCGGUCGAGGGCCUGAAGUCUCUGAAAAAACCGAUUGCAGGUCAUAGAAGAACCGCAGAAGGCAGUGCUGAGACCUGCUAUGCUACUAUCUGCAGAACAAGCUUGUCUGAGUAGGUAUAGGUGCACUUGCAUACAGUCGAUCGUGUGCUAGCUAGCCGUUUGUCUUCAUUCGUUCUCUCUGUGUGGUACUGGGUGAUAGUUGUUGUAUAUAUGCUGGCAGUUCGCUGUAAUAUGCUACAGGUAUUUCACGCAUCUUUUUUGAGUUUUUCAAUAUCCCUGUAGAGUAGAACAUGGUCGGGUGAUGGCCACUGUGGAUUGCGUAUGGCAGAUGGUUAGCAAUUCAGACUGCUGCCUGCAUGUGUGUGUGUGUGUGUGUGUGUGUGUGUGUGUUGCCGCCUUGCCGGUCGAUUUGUCGUAAACUUUGUAGCUCAAAUUCCUCCCUCAGAGAUCGGCUUCUCGAAGCUGGAUUUUCCUUCU